rnacentral:tRNA from 4 species
GGGCGAUUAGCUCAAUUGGCAGAGCACCUCGUUUACACCGAGGGGGUCGGGGGUUCAAGUCCCUCAUCGCCCA